AUUGAACGCUGGCGGCAUGCCUUACACAUGCAAGUCGAACGGCAGCACGGGUGCUUGCACCUGGUGGCGAGUGGCGAACGGGUGAGUAGUACAUCGGAACAUGUCCUGUAGCGGGGGAUAGCCCGGCGAAAGCCGGAUUAAUACCGCAUACGAUCUACGGAUGAAAGCGGGGGACCUUCGGGCCUCGCGCUAUAGGGUUGGCCGAUGGCUGAUUAGCUAGUUGGUGGGGUAAAGGCCUACCAAGGCGACGAUCAGUAGCUGGUCUGAGAGGACGACCAGCCACACUGGGACUGAGACACGGCCCAGACUCCUACGGGAGGCAGCAGUGGGGAAUUUUGGACAAUGGGCGAAAGCCUGAUCCAGCAAUGCCGCGUGUGUGAAGAAGGCCUUCGGGUUGUAAAGCACUUUUGUCCGGAAAGAAAUCCUUGGCCCUAAUACGGUCGGGGGAUGACGGUACCGGAAGAAUAAGCACCGGCUAACUACGUG
rnacentral:rRNA from 1 species